rnacentral:rRNA from 1 species
AGCAGUCGCCGCGGGAAUACAGAGGGUGCGAGCGUUAAUCGGAUUUACUGGGCGUAAAGCGUGCGUAGGCGGCUUUUUAAGUCGGAUGUGAAAUCCCUGAGCUUAACUUAGGAAUUGCAUUCGAUACUGGGAAGCUAGAGUAUGGGAGAGGAUGGUAGAAUUCCAGGUGUAGCGGUGAAAUUCGUAGAGAUCUGGAGGAAUACCGAUGGCGAAGGCAGCCAUCUGGCCUAAUACUGACGCUGAGGUACGAAAGCAUGGGGAGCAAACAGGAUUAGAUACCCCAGUAGUCCCUGUCUCUUAUAC